rnacentral:rRNA from 1 species
UACGUAGGGUGCAAGCGUUAAUCGGAAUUACUGGGCGUAAAGCGUGCGCAGGCGGUCUUGCAAGACAGAUGUGAAAUCCCCGGGCUUAACCUGGGAACUGCAUUUGUGACUGCAAGGCUGGAGUACGGUAGAGGGGGAUGGAAUUCCGCGUGUAGCAGUGAAAUGCGUAGAGAUCGGGAGGAACACCGAUGGCGAAGGCAGCCCCCUGGGUUAACACUGACGCUCAUGCACGAAAGCGUGGGGAGCAAACAGG